GAUGAACGCUGGCGGCGUGCCUAAUACAUGCAAGUCGAGCGAACAGACGAGGAGCUUGCUCCUCUGACGUUAGCGGCGGACGGGUGAGUAACACGUGUAUACCCUACCUAUAAGACUGGGAUAACUUCGGGAAACCGGAGCUAAUACCGUAUAAUAUCUUGAACCGCAUGGUUCAAUAGUGAAAGACGGUUUUGCUGUCACUUAUAGAUGGAUCCGCGCCGCAUUAGAUAGUUGGUACGGUCACGGCUUACCACGGCAACGAUGCGUAGCCGACCUGAGAGAGGGGUCGGCCACACGAGAGCUGAGACGGGGACCAGGGGACUACGGGAGGCAGCAGAAGGGAAUCUGACGCAAUGGGGGAGAGUCUGACAGAGCAAGGCCGCGUGAGAGAUGAAGGUCCUGGGUUCGGAAAACCGUGUUAUUAGUGAAGAACAAAUGUGUAAGUAAACAUGGCGGGCUUGACGGUACUGAAUCAGAAAGCCCCGGCUAACUACGUG
rnacentral:rRNA from 1 species